rnacentral:rRNA from 1 species
CAAACAGAAACUAAAGGAGGUGUUGGAUUUCAAGCUGGUGUUAAAGAUUAUAAAUUGACUUACUACACCCCAGAGUAUGAAACUAAGGAUACUAAUAUCUUGGCAGCAUUCCGAGUAAGUCUUCAGCCUGGGGUUCCGCCCGAAGAAGCAGGGGCUGCAGUAGCCGUAGCUACCGAAUCUUCUACUGGUACAUGGACAACUGUUUGGACUGAUGGACUUACCAGUCUUGAUCAUUACAAAGGACGAUGCUAUCACAUCGAGCCUAUUGCCUUUACAACAAUAUAUCUAGCUUUUAGUUUUGUUGAACUGCGCUUAUCUCAGGAAAUGAGGAUAACUUAA